rnacentral:pre_miRNA from 1 species
AGGGCAAUAGCUGGGUCAAAUGGUGAUUCCAUUCCCAGCUUUCCCAGGAAUCUCCAUACUGCUUUCCAAAUUGGCUGCACCAAUUUUCAGUCCCACCAGCAAU